rnacentral:rRNA from 1 species
UACGUAGGGGGCAAGCGUUGUCCGGAUUUACUGGGCGUAAAGGGCGCGUAGGCGGCCCGCUAAGUCGAACGUGAAAUCCCCAGGCUCAACCUGGGAACUGCGUCCGAUACUGGCAGGCUUGAAUCCGGGAGAGGGAUGUGGAAUUCCAGGUGUAGCGGUGAAAUUCGUAGAUAUCAGGAGGAACACCAGUGGCGAAGGCGGCUUCCUGGACACCAACUGACGCUGAGACGCGAAAGCGUGGGGAGCAAACAGG